CCAUGUUUCUGUCUUGUCUCUGCCAGGCCCUUUGUAUCCCUUGAUGAGUAACAUCCUCGUCUGAAACCAAACCAAGACACAAGGAGGUGGUGAUGUACCAAAUCGUCUGUUGCCACGGUAACCGUACGCAAUCUCCGAAGCAGGAUCUGUCUGUGGAAGGUUCCCCCUCCUGCAUCGCUGUGACAACUUGAGCCAAGGUCACUGUGAGUCAUAAAGUACAAAUCACAAGCAAAGGAAAGGAUCUGUAUUUGAUCGGGGCAGGGAGUAACAGACAUCCUGUGUGAGCACUGAAAGUGCAUUCGACUUGGACUUUUAAGCUACU